rnacentral:lncRNA from 1 species
GGCUUAUUUGCUUUGUUAUAGUUAAUAAGUAAUGCAGUGCUAUGCUCUGUAUUUGUGAAUUGAAAGCUCUAGCAGCUGUGAUUUAAUGCUAUUGCAUGUUCAGAAGUAUGCAAGUAAACCUCUGCAAGGACUGUGGUGUGCUCUGCUCUAACCUGGAACUUCACUUGAAUAUGGGAGAAAAUGUUUCAGGUUGGAAGAGUUGUCCCUUGGAGCCAGAUGGCACAUCAACCAGUAUCCACAAUGGCUGAAAUUACCACUUCUGAGUGAGGGAUACUGAAAGCGAAAUGCUGUCUGGAGUGCUGUUGGAUUAUUCCCAAACCAGCUUCUUCCAUUAAGAGUAUUAUUUUAUAAUAUAUUAUGGCCUGUGAUCAGUGGUGAAGCAUCCUUUGAAGCUAGAGCCAUCUCUCUCAUCUUACUGGCAAAGACAGUGAUGCUUCAAGUC